AGGGUUUGAUCAUGGCUCAGAACGAACGCUGGCGGCAGGCCUAACACAUGCAAGUCGAGCGCGCCUUCGGGUGAGCGGCGGACGGGUUAGUAACGCGUGGGAACGUACCCAGAUCUACGGAAUAGCCUUUGGAAACGAAGAGUAAUACCGUAUACGCCCUUCGGGGGAAAGAUUUAUCGGAUUUGGAUCGGCCCGCGUUAGAUUAGAUAGUUGGUGGGGUAACGGCCUACCAAGUCUACGAUCUAUAGCUGGUUUUAGAGGAUGAUCAGCAACACUGGGACUGAGACACGGCCCAGACUCCUACGGGAGGCAGCAGUGGGGAAUCUUGGACAAUGGGCGCAAGCCUGAUCCAG
rnacentral:rRNA from 1 species